UUUAGUUUCUGGAUCAUGUAAACAUGGGAGUCAUUCCUGCCUCGCCGGACUACGGGAAGUUCUACGAGCUCGUAUCUCACGUGGUGCCUGGCACAGGUCAAAUGGUUUCAGAGCCCACAAGCAAACAAUAAAUAUCCAGCACUGAGGAUGACUGCUUUCUGGCAGUCUCAGCGCUUCCAGAAGCUUCCUCUCAAGCAGUCCUGGACCAAAAGGAGGAGAGAUUAUUACAGCCAUGAUCUGAGUCCCUUGGGGACAUUGACAGAAGAAGAAGCAGCAGAUACACACAUUUUCAAAGCGACUUCUGGCCAUUUCAGAACCUUAAUAUCCCUGAUAUUUAUUUACCGCCAAUUCCUUCCCAGAGAAAAGUUCUGCUUUAUUAACAUCAAGAAUAUGGUUUUGGUACAAAAGAGAUAACAAAUGGCAUUCUUUUAAAUAUGACCUCGAAAAAACAGUUUAA